rnacentral:misc_RNA from 1 species
GCAUCUACCGAUUGAAUGGAGAGGUAAAAUCUCCGGACUGUGACGCGUUGGGGUCAAACCUAAUGCAGUCGUGGGAAGUGGAUUAAACCUUUCCAUUUAGAGGAAGAUGAAGUCGUAACAAGGUUUCCGUAGGUGAACCUGCAGAAGGAUCAAGAUCGGAAGAGCGUCGUGUAGUAGAGGAGUGUAGUUCUUGGUGGUCGUCGCAUCAUCAUAAAAAAAAAAAAGCACAGUAAUCUGUACGAUAAGCGUUGCUUCAGUAUGACUACACUGCACACUC